rnacentral:rRNA from 1 species
UACGGGAGGGUGCGAGCGUUUGUCCGGAAUCAUUGGGCGAAGGGCGCGUAGGUGGCACGAUCAGCGUGCGGUGAAAGCUCGGGGCUCAACCCCGGGUCGGCCGUGCGAACUAUCGAGCUGGAGCACUGUAGAGGCAGGCGGAAUUCCGGGUGUAGCGGUGGAAUGCGUAGAGAUCCGGAAGAACACCGGUGGCGAAGGCGGGCCGUGCUG